rnacentral:lncRNA from 1 species
CGCGCUGCAUGCUGGGGGCGUAUUCUCGCGGGAUCGACUCACAGGCGUGGAGAGAUGAGGUUUCAGUACCCUUUAUCCUCCCAUAGUUAUGGAAGGUCCGGGUAGCGGGUUGUAUCAUUUCGGUGUCUGACGUCGGGGAGAAAGGGUUAUGGUUUGAAAUCCCUUGCUUUUUAAGCCUUUUAUAGUGUGCAAUGCCUACAAACGGUGUCGAUUCGUGUUUUGUGCUUGUAAAUUAGCGGGAAGGAAAAGGUGGACGGACUAUUUCCUUGGAAUUGCCCUGGAAUUAGAGUAGGUUCUUUUUUAAAGGUGCCCCGAGGGCAUACUUUCUAUGAAGAAGAUAAAAGGUCUUCUCUUGCUGAGAAAUUGGCAGAGCUGUGAAGUUCUGAGUGUGACCAGAAAAGGAACUUACCACUGCAUGAAUACCAAGAGAGAAAGAAACUACACAUUUCAGAGGGUUGAGUGGGGGCUCCCGCACACCUAAAACACCCGGAGAAAACAGGCAAUGAGGACUACUACAGCUCUACUCAGACACUUCUUUCAACCCAGCCUCUGGGUGCACACGUUAAGGGCCUUCGACUCAGCAGAAUCUUGAAAACUGGAGCAUGUAUCAGAAAGUGGAAAACCCAAGACCUACAGAGUCCCAAGAGAACAUGUCCAGCUGGUGGCCAAGGGGAUGGGGAGCCCCUGUCGGCUGUGCAUUGCCUGGUGCCCUUUACAGUUUGCACGCUGUCCCUCCUGGCCAGGAUUGCAAGCUACAUCAUAGGUUACGCAUGGAUUAUGUACAUAUUGACUAAUAAGAAAAUAAAUAGCACGUCUGAGAAAAAUACAUCACGCGGAGAAAGUAGGAUGAAGUCAUUACAACCAUCAAUGGCCAAGAGACUGGAGGAAGCAAACAUCGUCUGGUCAGGUGAAGUUUUUAUAAGAAGGCUCACGUUUCAAAUGCCUUCCUCCAGUAGGAAAUAAACAUUAAUAAUAAGGACUGAGAACAUUUCUGUGUAUUGUAGAAAAGCAGAGUAUAUAGAUAACCACACAUACCUCACAGUCUUGGAAAAUUAUGCAUUAUUUAGAAAAGGGAUUAAAAAUAUCUCCAACUUGCAAGUGUUCAACCUCUCACCCCUUGGGAUUGCACAGGGAGGGUGCUGAUAUCCUUUUCCACUGCUUCAUGGUCUCUGAGGAACAGACCCAUGGCAUUAGUCAGCAGUUUCUGAAUGUUGACCCACAAUAGGAAAGAUACCUCGAGACAGGAAAAAUAGAUGGAGGCAAUUACAAACAGCUACUUGAUGGAUGGUUGACAUUGUCGGGGCUCCAGUGUAUGGCAGAUUGCGAUGGUGUUGAACUCCCCUUGCUACCAGUGGAUGUUGCUAUUGGCAACCGUGCAGUGAAGCCAAUAAAAAGGCAAGAAAAUGAGACGAAAGCUCA